rnacentral:miRNA from 1 species
UUGCACAAUCUACAUUGGACCU